rnacentral:rRNA from 1 species
GAAUCUUCCACAAUGGACGAAAGUCUGAUGGAGCAAUGCCGCGUGAGCGAAGAAGGUUUUCGGAUCGUAAAGCUCUGUUGUGAGGGAAGAACAAGUACGGGAGUAACUGCCCGUACCUUGACGGUACCUCAUUAGAAAGCCACGGCUAACUACGUGCCAGCAGCCGCGGUAAUACGUAGGUGGCAAGCGUUGUCCGGAAUUAUUGGGCGUAAAGCGCGCGCAGGCGGCCUUUUAAGUCUGAUGUGAAAGCCCCCGGCUCAACCGGGGAAGGUCAUUGGAAACUGGGGGACUUGAGUACAGAAGAGGAAAGCGGAAUUCCAAGUGUAGCGGUGAAAUGCGUAGAGAUUUGGAGGAACACCAGUGGCGAAGGCGGCUUUCUGGUCUGUAACUGACGCUGAGGCGCGAAAGCGUGGGGAGCAAAC